rnacentral:rRNA from 1 species
UACGUAGGGGGCAAGCGUUGUCCGGAUUUAUUGGGCGUAAAGAGCGUGUAGGCGGCUAGGUAGGUCCGUUGUGAAAACUCGAGGCUCAACCUCGAGACGUCGAUGGAAACCAUCUAGCUAGAGUGCGGUAGGGGAGACUGGAAUUCCUGGUGUAGCGGUGAAAUGCGCAGAUAUCAGGAGGAACACCGGUGGCGAAGGCGGGUCUCUGGGCCGUAACUGACGCUGAGGAGCGAAAGCGUGGGGAGCGAACAGG